rnacentral:rRNA from 1 species
ACGCUCGACACCUACUGGAGGCAGCAGUGGGGAAUAUUGCACAAUGGGGGAAACCCUGAUGCAGCGACGCCGCGUGGAGGAAGAAGGUCUUCGGAUUGUAAACCUCUGUCCUCUGUGAAGAUAAUGACGGUAGCAGAGGAGGAAGCUCCGGCUAACUACGCGCCAGCACGCCGAGUAUCNGAGGCGGCGUGGACGAAGGC